rnacentral:rRNA from 1 species
UACAGAGGGUGCGAGCGUUGUUCGGAAUUAUGGGGCGUAAAGAGCGUGUAGGCGGUUCGGUAAGUCUGCCGUGAAAACCCAGGGCUCAACCCUGGGCGUGCGGUGGAUACUGCCGGGCUAGAGGGUGGUAGAGGCGUGUGGAAUUCCCGGUGUAGCGGUGAAAUGCGCAGAUAUCGGGAGGAACACCAGUAGCGAAGGCGGCUCGCUGGGCCACACCUGACGCUGAGACGCGAAAGCGUGGGGAGCAAACAGG